rnacentral:rRNA from 1 species
UGGUGCCAGCAGCCGCGGUAAUUCCAGCUCCAAUAGCGUAUAUUAAAGUUGUUGCAGUUAAAAAGCUCGUAGUUGAAUUUCGGGGUUAGUAAGUUGGUCAUGCCUCCGGUAUGUACUGGCUUUACUGAUUCCUCCUUCUUGAUGAACUGUAAUGUCAUUAAUUUGGUGUUGCAGGGAAUCAGGACUGUUACUUUGAAAAAAUUAGAGUGUUUAAAGCAGGCAUACACUUGAAUACAUUAGCAUGGAAUAAUGAAAUAGGACGUUUGAUCCUAUUUUGUUGGUUUCUAGGAUUGACGUAAUGAUUAAUAGGGAUAGUUGGGGGCAUUAGUAUUCAAUUGUCAGAGGUGAAAUUCUUGGAUUUAUUGAAGACUAACUACUGCGGAAGCAUUUGCCAAGGAUGUUUUCAUUAAUCAAGAACGAAAGUUAGGGGAUCGAAGACGAUCAGAUACCGUCGUAGUCUUAACCAUAAACUAUGCCGACUAGGGA